AGAGUUUGAUCCUGGCUCAGGACGAACGCUGGCGGCGCGCCUAACACAUGCAAGUCGAACGAGCGAGAGAGAGCUUGCUUUCUCGAGCGAGUGGCGAACGGGUGAGUAACGCGUGAGGAACCUGCCUCAAAGAGGGGGACAACAGUUGGAAACGACUGCUAAUACCGCAUAAGCCCACGGGUCGGCAUCGACCAGAGGGAAAAGGAGCAAUCCGCUUUGAGAUGGCCUCGCGUCCGAUUAGCUAGUUGGUGAGGUAACGGCCCACCAAGGCAACGAUCGGUAGCCGGACUGAGAGGUUGAACGGCCACAUUGGGACUGAGACACGGCCCAGACUCCUACGGGAGGCAGCAGUGGGGAAUAUUGCACAAUGGGGGAAACCCUGAUGCAGCGACGCCGCGUGGAGGAAGAAGGUCUUCGGAUUGUAAACUCCUGUUGUUGGGGAAGAUAAUGACGGUACCCAACAAGGAAGUGACGGCUAACUACGUGCCAGCAGCCGCGGUAAAACGUAGGUCACAAGCGUUGUCCGGAAUUACUGGGUGUAAAGGGAGCGCAGGCGGGAAGACAAGUUGGAAGUGAAAUCUAUGGGCUCAACCCAUAAACUGCUUUCAAAACUGUUUUUCUUGAGUAGUGCAGAGGUAGGCGGAAUUCCCGGUGUAGCGGUGGAAUGCGUAGAUAUCAGGAGGAACACCAGUGGCGAAGGCGGCCUACUGGGCACCAACUGACGCUGAGGCUCGAAAGUGUGGGUAGCAAACAGGAUUAGAUACCCUGGUAGUUCACACCGUAAACGAUGAUUACUAGGUGUUGGAGGAUUGACCCCUUCAGUGCCGCAGUUAACACAAUAAGUAAUCCACCUGGGGAGUACGACCGCAAGGUUGAAACUCAAAGGAAUUGACGGGGGCCCGCACAAGCAGUGGAGUAUGUGGUUUAAUUCGACGCAACGCGAAGAACCUUACCAAGUCUUGACAUCCCUUGACAGACAUAGAAAUAUGUAAUCUCUUCGGAGCAAGGAGACAGGUGGUGCAUGGUUGUCGUCAGCUCGUGUCGUGAGAUGUUGGGUUAAGUCCCGCAACGAGCGCAACCCUUAUGGUCAGUUACUACGCAAGAGGACUCUGGCCAGACUGCCGUUGACAAAACGGAGGAAGGUGGGGAUGACGUCAAAUCAUCAUGCCCUUUAUGACUUGGGCUACACACGUACUACAAUGGCGUUAAACAAAGAGAAGCAAGACCGCGAGGUGGAGCAAAACUCAGAAACAACGUCCCAGUUCGGACUGCAGGCUGCAACUCGCCUGCACGAAGUCGGAAUUGCUAGUAAUCGUGGAUCAGCAUGCCACGGUGAAUACGUUCCCGGGCCUUGCACACACCGCCCGUCA
rnacentral:rRNA from 1 species